AUUGAACGCUGGCGGCAGGCCUAACACAUGCACGUCGAGCGAGCGGCGGACGGGUGAGUAAUGUAUGGGGACUGCCCGAUAGCGGGGGAUAACUACUGGAAACGGUAGCUAAUACCGCAUACUAUCGGAUAACCCAUAUGGGAUUAUCUAGUAGGUGAGGUAAUGGCUCACGUCGGCGACGAUCCCUAUAUGGUCUGUGAGGAUGAUCAGCAACACGGGGACUGAGACAAGGCCCAGACUCCUACGGAGGCAGCAGUGGGGAAUAUUGCACAAUGGGCGCAAGCCUGAUGCAGCCAUGCCGCGUGUAUGAAGAAGGCCCUAGGGUUGUAAAGUACUUUCAGUCGGGAGGCGUUACCGACAGAAGAAGCACCGGCUAACUCCGUGCCAGCAGCCGCGGUAAUUC
rnacentral:rRNA from 1 species